UGACAUCACAGAAAAAAAUUUAAGUUAAAUUGAAUACAUUUCAUAUGAUUCAAAAGGUCCGAAACUUUUGUGUCGAUUUAACACGAGAUAAAUAUGUAAAAAGUAACGUAAAUAUUACGUAAAAAAAUUAACAUAAAAAUGUAACACUUGUGACACAAUGAUGGAAGCAUGAUUCUUCAGUAAAAUUAAGCUUUAACAAGGAAAACACCGGUUUAACGUAGAUACGAAAUAUUUAUUACUAUGUACAUACUGCAAAAUCAAUAUCUGUAGUAUUCUGAAUAUCUUUAAUUCUUUAUUUUAAACAUAUUUCCUGAUUCUUUUCGUAGGCCGUUUAUAUCAGCACGACUAUUAUAUCGAUGCGAUAUCGAUUGCGAGGACGCGUAAAAAAUGAGCAGAGCAGAUCGUGACAAAAUAUACAAUCUCGACUGUAAAAAAAAAUGAAAAUAAGCAGCUAUAGUGAUCAUGUGUUGUUAUCUUCCAUGGCAACCAUUCUGUGUUACCUGCUCUGUUAUCAGAGAUCAAGAAGUGACAAUUUGAAGUCCGGAAGACUCUUAGAACAUAUAUUAUUGGAAGGAGAAUUGAGUGCUGAACGUGAAGCCACAUCUGUGAGAGAGAGAAAGGUAUAGGCAAUUGUCCUUCCAGGAAUAUAUGUCCCAAGGGAAAACUACACUUUUUAGUCGCAAAGUUACCUAGUCACUUAAGCCUAUACCUAAAAAAGACCAUCGUGUUCGACGCAGCUUUCACGCUUUCUCCGAGUUAACACGAAUUCUUCAACCUCAGUGUCGGUUCGCGAAAAGUGCUCGUGGAUCUGUGACGCCCAGGCAGAUUCUGAUUAUUAUCGAUAAAAGCCUGUUCGUCGAUACGCGACCGUGUUGCCUGCUUUUCAAACUUAUCGGACGAAUGCAAGAAUGGCUCGCCACGACAAUUGUCUACCUUAAUAAACGUAUCGCGCGUCCGUUUCGCAUAAUACAAUUCGCGCGAAGCUGCAUCGAUCGGCACUCUCAAGUUACCUUGAAUGGAUAUUUUUCCAUUUAUUUUCAUUAACUUAUAGAAUUACUAGCAAACUUGCGAGAAAAUAUUCGCCCACCUUUCUUUCAUAUCUCCCAUGUCAAAUGCCUGUAGAAUUUGUAAUAGCCUUUAUAAAGAAUUUGAUAAAAUUACGCUAUAAAGUUCCAAUUAAAUUUUCCUUUUGUCGCAAA